GACGGAGGAUGCAAGUGUUAUCCGGAAUCACUGGGCGUAAAGCGUCUGUAGGUGGUUUAAUAAGUCAACUGUUAAAUCUUGAAGCUCAACUUCAAAAUCGCAGUCGAAACUAUUAGACUAGAGUAUAGUAGGGGUAAAGGGAAUUUCCAGUGGAGCGGUGAAAUGCGUAGAGAUUGGAAAGAACACCGAUGGCGAAGGCACUUUACUGGGCUAUUACUGACACUCAGAGACGAAAGCUAGGGUAGCAAAUGGG
rnacentral:rRNA from 1 species